UACGUAGGGGGCAAGCGUUGUCCGGAUUUACUGGGCGUAAAGAGCGUGUAGGCGGCCACGCAGGUCCGUUGUGAAAACUGGAGGCUCAACCUCCAGCUGUCGACGGAAACCGUAUGGCUAGAGUCCGGGAAGAGGAGAGUGGAAUUCCUGGUGUAGCGGUGAAAUGCGCAGAUAUCAGGAAGAACACCAGUGGCGAAAGCGCUCUCUGGGACGGUACUGACGCUGAGACGCGAAAGCGUGGGGAGCGAACAGG
rnacentral:rRNA from 1 species